UGCCGCGUGAGUGAUGAAGGCCUUAGGGUUGUAAAGCUCUUUCAGUGGGGAAGAUAAUGACGGUACCCACAGAAGAAGCCCCGGCUAACUUCGUGCCAGCAGCCGCGGUAAUACGAAGGGGGCUAGCGUUGUUCGGAUUUACUGGGCGUAAAGCGCACGUAGGCGGAUUGGUAAGUUAGAGGUGAAAUCCCGAAGCUCAACUUCGGAACUGCCUUUAAUACUGCCAGUCUAGAGUCCGGAAGAGGUGAGUGGAACUCCUAUGGUAUAGGUGGAAUUCUCCUC
rnacentral:rRNA from 1 species